rnacentral:rRNA from 1 species
CCAGCAGCUGCGGUAAUUCCAGCUCCAAUAGCGUAUAUUAAAGUUGUUGCAGUUAAAACGCUCGUAGUCUGAUGUAAUGGGGAUUGGAGUGGGGAGCAGCGAUGUUCUUUGCUUUGGUGCUCAUCAAUGGGACAGCAAUGUCCCGGUUUACUUUGAGGAAAUUAGAGUGUUCAAAGCAGGCGAUUGCUUGAAUACUGCAGCAUGGAAUAAUGGAAUAGGACUCGCGUCUUAUUUUGUUGGUUUGGAGAUGUGAGUAAUGAUGAAUAGGGACAGUUGGGGGCAUUGGUAUUCAGUAGUCAGAGGUGAAAUUCUUGGAUUUACUGAAGACUAACUAGUGCGAAAGCAUUUGC